rnacentral:rRNA from 1 species
AACGUAGGAGGCGAGCGUUAUCCGGAUUCACUGGGCGUAAAGCGCGUGCAGGUGGUUCGGUAAGUUGGGCGUGAAAUCUCCCGGCUCAACUGGGAGAGGUCGUCCAAUACUACCGAACUUGAGAGCAGAAGAGGAAGAUGGAAUUCCCGGUGUAGUGGUGGAAUGCGUAGAUAUCGGGAGGAACACCAGUGGCGAAGGCGGUUACCUGGAGCUUUGCUGACGCUGAUGCGCGAAAGCGUGGGGAGCGAUCCGG